AACGAACGCUGGCGGCAUGCCUAACACAUGCAAGUCGAACGAGACCUUCGGGCUUAGUGGCGCACGGGUGCGUAACACGUGGGAACCUGCCCUUAGGUUCGGAAUAACUCCCCGAAAGGGGCGCUAAUACCGGAUAAUGUCUUCGGACCAAAGAUUUAUCGCCUUUGGAUGGGCCCGCGUUGGAUUAGCUAGUUGGUAGGGUAAAAGCCUACCAAGGCGACGAUCCAUAGCUGGUCUGAGAGGAUGAUCAGCCACACUGGGACUGAGACACGGCCCAGACUCCUAGGAGAGGCAGCGGUGGGGAAUAUUGGAGAAUGGGCGAGAGCCAGAUACAGCACUGACGCGUGAGUGAUGAAGGCGUUAGGGUUGUAAAGCUCUUUGACCCGGGAUGAUAAUGACAGUACCGGGAGAAUAAGCUCCGGCUAACUCCGUG
rnacentral:rRNA from 1 species